rnacentral:rRNA from 1 species
GUUCCAACGGUNAAAGAUGAGCAUGCGUCCCAUUAGCUAGAUGGUAAGGUAACGGCUUACCAUGGCUACGAUGGGUAGGGGUCCUGAGAGGGAGAUCCCCCCACACUGGUACUGAGACACGGACCAGACUCCUACGGGAGGCAGCAGUGAGGAAUAUUGGUCAAUGGACGCAAGUCUGAACCAGCCAUGCCGCGUGCAGGAUGACGGUCCUAUGGAUUGUAAACUGCUUUGUACGAGAAGAAACAACAUUACGUGUAAUGUCUUGACGGUAUCGUAAGAAUAAGGAUCGGCUAACUCCGUG